AAGAGCUACAGCAUUCUGCAGAGUUCUACAAUUCAACAUUUAGACUCUGUACAACUGAGCUUUUUUGGCAGCUUCUUCAAAUUUUCAAAACGAUGAAGUGUGUGGUGUUUCUGAUGGUCGUCAUAUCUGUGGUGACAAUCUCUGUCGCUGAUAAUUGCCACUACAGGUGUAGAAAUGGCCUCACUGACACGGGUAAUAAGUUCCUCACCGGUGCCGAAGUUUGGUUUGUGUGCAGGUGUUCUAACAAAUGUGCAGACGCGGGAAAAUACUACGGUACUUCAGUCGGGACACUGAACUAUCAAUGCGACAAGUUGUGUCGGGAAAAGAAUGACGGCCAGACCAGUGGCGUGUGUAAAUCGGACGGUUAUUGUCAUUGCGUUUAAUGCAUGUAGAAAUUCUGGUGCCAAGAACGAUGGUCUUCGAAGACAGUCAACAAGGGAAAAAUAAAGACUACCUCGUUUGAAGAAGUUGGGUCUUUAGUGUGACUGAUGAUGAUGAUGAUGAUGAUUUCAUAUAAUUUUUAUAAUUAUAGGUGAAUGUUAUGGAGAUUUA